CCUACGGGAGGCAGCAGUGGGGAAUAUUGCGCAAUGGGCGGAAGCCUGAGCAGCGAGCGCCGCGUGGGGGAUGACGGCCUUCGGGUUGUAAACCUCUUUCGACCUUGACGAAGGCCUUCGGGUUGACGGUGGGGGUAGAAGAAGCACCGGUCAACUACGUGCCAGCAGCCGCGGUAAU
rnacentral:rRNA from 1 species